rnacentral:rRNA from 1 species
AUUGAACGCUGGCGGCAUGCCUAACACAUGCAAGUCGCGCGGGCGGUAGCAAUACCGUUAGCGGCGGACGGGUGAGGAAUACAUAGGAAUUUGCCUUUAGGUGGGGGAUAGCCCAGGGAAACUUGGAGUAAUACCGCAUGAUGUCGCAAGACCAAAGCAGGGGAUCGCAAGACCUUGCGCGUUUAGAGGAGCCUAUGUCUGAUUAGCUAGUUGGUAGGGUAAAGGCCUACCAAGGCGACGAUCAGUAACUGGUCUGAGAGGACGAUCAGUCACACUGGAACUGAGACACGGUCCAGACUCCUACGGGAGGCAGCAGUGGGGAAUAUUGGACAAUGGGCGCAAGCCUGAUCCAGCAAUGCCGCGUGUGUGAAGAAGGCCUUCGGGUUGUAAAGCACUUUAGGCCGGGAAGAAAAAAUCAGGGCUAAUAUCCUUGAUCUUGACGGUACCGGAAGAAUAAGCACCGGCUAACUCUGUGCCAGCCGCCGCAGUAAGAC